rnacentral:rRNA from 1 species
AUUUUUUCAAAAAACAUUGUAUGAUUGGUAGUUUCACUGGGGGCGGUGGCCUCCCAAAAGGUAACGGAGGCGUACAAAGGUAAUUAAAGAUUUUUUAAAGUUUUUAGUAUAAUGGCUUAUAAAAAAUUGCUUGACUGUUUAGAUAGACAUAUCUAUCAGGGACGUAAGUCGGUCAUAGUGAUCCAGUAGCGCUGUUUAGUUUUGGCUAUUGCUUAUCGGAUAAAAGUUACGCUAGGGAUAACAGGCUAAUAAUUCCUAAGAGUCCGUAUCGCCGGGAUUGUUUGGCACCUCGAUGUCGGCUCAUCUUUUCCUGGAUAUGUAGGUAGAUCCAAAGGUACGUCUGUUCGACGUUUAAUAAGGUACGUGAGCUGGGUUUAGAACGUCGUGAGACAGUUUGGUCCCUAUCUACUAUGGGUUUUAAAAAUUGAAAAGGGUUUGCGGGCUAGUAUGAGAAGAAUAGCAUCUAUCAAU